rnacentral:lncRNA from 1 species
UGGUUGUUUGGACAUCAUCUUCUCUCCUUCUUGUCCAUGUUUAGACAUAGAUGUCUCAUCUUUCCUUUGUCCAAAAAUUAGAUAAAAUUCUUACAUCUCUAUUGUAGAGAUUUGGUGCAUGAAUUUUAAGAAGAAAAAAGAAAAAAGAUUCUUCUCAUGAUCUCUAGCAUAGAGAUCAAGAUCCUCCUACAUCUUCUUAUUCUCUAAGAGUGUCUUGAGAGAAAAGAAGAUUUUCAAUCAUCAAAAUGCAAUCUCUGCAAGGGAGCUAGCACCCC